CUUCUAUUGGCUUUAUGGGCACAGAAGACCCAGAAAUGGCCCAUGUAGACCCAGACUCCAUCCCCGAUCAAUCAUCCAAUUCUUUACUCGCAAACACCCGCUGCUGCUUCUGUUUCCCCUGCUUCGGUUCCCGUCAUUCUUCCUCCGUCGGGUUGGCCUGGUGGGAGCGAAUCCGAUCGUCAAGACGUCAUAGCGACGAUAAUCCAUGGUGGCACACUGGUGUUAGGGCCAUCAAGAAGAUCCGAGAAUGGUCGGAGAUUGUCGCUGGUCCCAAGUGGAAGACUUUCAUCCGGAGAUUUAAUAGAAGCAGAAGUAGUGGCAACGGCAGGCACGGCAAGUUCCAAUACGAUCCUUUGAGUUACGCUUUGAACUUCGAUGAAGGUCCCGGUCAGAGCAGUAAUUUCGACGAGGAAGACGAUUACGGUGGCUUUCACGAUUUCUCUUCCCGUUACGCCUCCGUUUCCCGGUCCGGUAAGCCGUUGGCGAUGGACGGGUCCCGUAAUAAGGACAUGGCGGU
rnacentral:misc_RNA from 1 species